AACUAUCUUGUGCUCAGUGUCAUCACUGCAAAAGCGCUCUUCAGAGGCAAGACGGCUGCCGCCGCUGCUCUCCAACUCAUCACAGGCAGGCGACAGGUCGACAUCUAAGGUCUUCUGUGCAUUAUCAGCUCAGGGAUGGAGAAACAAAAACAAGAGCCUGUCCUCGGUUUUCUCCGGCGAUCAGGCCCCCCACUUAGUGUAUUUGACAAGCUGAGUUGGACACUCUGUAUCAGUGAGUGUCAGUUUGUCAAAUACCCCAAGUGAGGUGUCACUUCUCAACAGACAGAGGUUACUGCACAGACAGAAUGGCCGCAACGCUGCGUGGAAAAGCGUUGAAGAACUGCCAGCAUGAUUAGUUGUUUGAUGACACUGAUGUAUUUCUAGGCUUCCACUUUCAGCCUUGAAAUAAGUUGAAUUUUUUUCACAAAGUUCAUCUGACUUGCAUGCAUUUACUUUGUGAAAUUUUCUCAUUUAUAAACUUACAGAACAGCAACUAGGUUUUGGAAGAGGCCCAAAAGAGAGUAAAAUAGAAAUGCACUGUAAAUUACUGCUGUGUGAUUGUGUCUCUGUAACAUCAAAGGCAACAAAUAGAAAGGCUUUAAAAAAAAAAAAGUUGUUAUAGUUGUUUCUUUUUGUUCUUUUUUGUUGUUGUUGUUGUUCUUUUGCAGAGGCGUGGUUGCAUGUGUGCCUACAGCUAAAGUAACUUAUAGUGAGAAGAGAAGCGCCCAGUGCCUCCCUGAGCCACAUGGUAUUUCUGCUGAUCUUUUUCAUUUCAGUGUGCACAUAUAAAAAGUCAAGAUGCAUCAAAUUCCUGUAAUAAAAGUGAAUGAUCAGCGAGCGCAUGCAAUUUCUGCAAGCUCCAGCCUUUCUUCCAACCGUCUUAUGACUUUUCACAGACCACACUUAUCAGACUGUCUUGCAUUUCCUGCAAUUACUCUUGAUGUUUAUAAAUGCAGCUGAGGUAAAAUUUCACCCAUCUUGCUACGGGAUCUGAGCUUUGUUUCAGUAAGCAAAUUAUUGCACUAAGAGAAGGUGUAUUGUAAUUUAGGUUUUGGGAAGUGCCCAAAUUGCACCAUAUCAUCAGGAACCAACUACUUGCGUUACCACAGUAGCGUCAGUGAUGCAAAUAAAGUCCUACGUAGCACACGCUAGCUGCUUUAAGAAAAGCUACUUGCACUUCAGCCGCAGCUUGCAGCUGAAUUCCAGCUCUUGCACUGCAGCUUGAUGCUCUACUGCCAUGUUUACUUAUAUACUUCAUGCUGAUCACAUACAAAAUUAGUAGUGGAUUUUACCUUCAAAAAAAUAAAUAGAUAACUGAGCUGAAAGCAGUUUUUCUAAGCAUUUUUGUUGUAGGUUCUUGAAAUGACACUGAACCCAGGUUUUGUCUAGUCUCCAAGGCCUUCAUCCAACAUUCUAUUACAGGCUAUUACAUUCUGACUUAACUGGCUCGGCACGUCAUCACUCAUGGUUUUAAAGCCAUCUGUCUAACCCUGACUCUAUAAAAGGUGGCACAUAGGAUAAUAUAAGCACGCUCUCAGUUUAGUCAUUUCGCAGUCGCACGCCUCAAAUCUAAAAUACAGCAGGCGUGUCAUUUCACAAUAGCUGUGCUGCAUGUUUUUCUAAAUUUGUUCUGUACUUUCUUUUUAAAAGGCCAGUAAGAGGUGAUAAGGCUCCAUGCUGGUAAAAUGUGUCGUUUUAUUAAAGGGUAAAUACAGUUCUGUGCGGCGUCAGUAGCUUGCUAGAAAAUAUUGUGGUUUCUCUGGGGGAGCUGGUUACUGCUGCACUCCACUAAUCUGACUUUUAUGGAAGAGUGGCAAGAAGAAAACCCUUGCGGAAAGAAAGAUGUAAGAAGCCUUGUUUACAGUUUGCUACAAACCACGUGCGCUCCGGUCAAGUGAUUUCAUGGUGUACAUGCAAAAUGCUGCGUGUGGCAGAAAACCAACACAACACCUUCUCAUUAAAACAGAACAGGACAGAGAAGUUACAUUUGGGCAUUUGGGAAGACAAGUUGAGCUGCAAAAGACUCAGACUCGGGUCUGUUGUGACAAAAAUACAUAACAUGCAUAGAUCACAUAACAAAUUCAAAAAUGAAGUUCACUCUUCAUCAAAUCUGACUGAACGUAAUCAAAUUUACUGAGAAGAAUGAAGAAGAACUUUUAAAUGUGCAAAUCUGGUAGAGACAUUUAUGGACUCGGGGGGGCGCAAUGCCACACAGCAACUCUAAUAACUUCAAUGUCUCGUUGAAGUUUGUGGUUGUGACAUGAAACCACAAGCCUGAUUCAUUCAGAACUCCAAGAGCCAGUAAGAACAAGAAUAUUGGAAUGUUUAGGUUUUCCCAGGAAGCGUGCAAAAUGGAGAUAAAAUUAGAAAGAGGAUUAAUAACGAAUAUACUGGAGAGAGGAUGAGAGGGAGAAGGAAAAGAGAAAGAGCACUGAGACCGGCUAUGAAGGGAGGGAAGGACGGGUGGUGUGAGAGAGAAAGAUGUUGAGGAUAGAUAGAGAGGAAGGAGGCGAGGGCGACCCCUCGAGGAAGCAACUGGAACAGAUCAUUACGACACUGAAGAUAAAUGAAUUUGAACCAGAUUAUGGUUGAUUUAAAAAGCUCUACAUAAAUCUGAACUAUUUUUUAGUACCUGAUGACAAGGACCUGAUGAAUAUGAUCGGCUUAAAGAUGAUGGAUAUUCACUUAAAUGGCUGCAAAACACGCUCCUUUCCAGGAAAAACAGAUGACAUCGAAUGGAAAGUUUCUUAAUUCAAGUGACAUUCUCUCAGUCAAGAUGACAUAAUGGCUCACAUAUCUAUAUCUAAUCUUCCUUUAAUAUCUAAGGUUAUUGAGAAAACAGUUGUGC